GGGAACACACGCUCAGUUAGCUGAACUGGCCUGUGAUUUAAUAUGGACACUGGCUUUCAUCCCAGCUCUGCUGAGGACAAAAUGGGACCUUGGGAACCAGGGGUUUAAUUCCAAGAAAUAAAUCUUUCCACCAUCCUCAUCCUCCCGGAGGCCCUCAGGAAGUUCUUAUUCCAGCGGCACCCCAGAAGCUACUUCCACGGACAGAGAACACCCCCACUGGCAGCCCACUUCACCCCCAGACGAUGGCUGAACCUGCAGGAGUACCAGAGCAAGAAGCUGAUGGCCGACAACGGAGUGAAAGUUCAGAGGUUCUUUGUAGUGGACACUGCGAAAGAAGCUCUGGAGGCCGCUAAGAAACUGAGCUUUUGUUUGAGCGAAUA